rnacentral:lncRNA from 1 species
CUUCCCUGGUACCUUUAGGCCUAGGGCUGGUAACAGCUUUCUACUCUUUACCAUAGCUUGUUGGUUUAACACUACCUUGCCCACAGGCCUGUAAAUGUCCCUUCAUUAAUCUCUCUUUAAUUAUCCUUUUUGAGUGUACCAUCUGUUUGAUCGUGGGAACCUGGGUGAUCCAGUAAAUGAAACCAGGAUUUGUUCCUGAACACAGAUCCAGAAAAUGGGGUUCUGUGAUUCAGUUGCUCACAUAUUUGAUGAGGGCACAGAUAAUCUCCUUGCCAAGGUGAAAUGGAUAACGUAGAAUGUGGUGGAAUAACAGUUGCUCAAAUUAUCAACAGCUGUUGCCUGGGGUGGUGUGCAGGAGAAGGGCGGAGACCACAUGACUGCAGCGUGCCUUGUUUUGUCAGGUGAUUUAGAUGACACAGAUUGUGCCACGAUCUGGUGACUUAUGAAUCCCAGAGAGCAGAUACAGAGAAAAGGACAAAUUAUCAGCCUUGAAUGCUCAACUCAGGGUAUAGGUGGAAAAUCAAGUAGCCACUUUGAAAGUGUUUAAAGAAUCUUGUACGUUCUGUAGCUGCAGGAUGAAUGUAUCUAACUCAGGGUAGCUUUUAAAGAAUCUCUUAUCUACUACAGCUGCAGGGCAAGUAUGAUUGAAGACCAUCUGUGCCUAAACACAUGGACUAUCUCCGUUCACCUUUCGCCUCUUAGAUAGAUUUCUAGGGGUUUGGAAUAUGGUCAAAUACAAGGUGCCUGUGCUGAGGAUUCAAAUAUACCUGGGAUUGACUCUCAACUCUGAUGCUCACCACCUCUAUAAGGUUGGGCAAAUUGCUUAAUCACUGAGAGAGAGGUUGCUGCGUCACUAAGUGGGCAACAGUACUUGGUCUUGUAGGACAAGAUAAGGCAUAAGUGAAAAAAGAGUGGAUUCCUGCCAUAUAAGAUGCAGUCAUUUGGGUCAGGAGCAGAGAAGAUUGAGAACUGUGGAGCUCCACACUCCCCCGAUCCUUCAUCGCUUAAGGAAGAGGUUCCUGCUUCCCCAACCACAUUUGUGGCCACCAGCCUUCCCCUUUGUUCCUUGGAAAGCUCCUGUUUUCCAGUGGAAGAAUGGGUACAGACCUCUGGCGUUUUGGAGUCUAGCCAUGACCCCUCCUGCAGAUUAUCAUCCUGAUGUCUGUCAAUCCACUCUGGCCCAUCAUAUUGCUACCAUCAGUCUACUGGGAGUCCUAUUGAUGGACAGAUCGGUGGUGUGUCAACAGACCCAUUUUGUAAAAUGGAAAUUGGAAGAAACCUAAAACAACAGAGUAGAGGAUGGAAAGCAAAGUCAUUUAUUCCAGAUAUAGCUCGUUCCCGGUAGGUCUCUGCAAUGGCAUUUCCUCCUUACACGGAUAUUUUUCGGCACAAGGUCAAAUUUUAAAAUGCGCGUGCUGACACUUGCAGUUGUGCCUUCUCAUUGCGUGACUGGUGUGUGGUUGGGGUUUUUCAACUUCUCAUAGUUUUGUGUGAAAGCUCACUGUGACAUGGGGUGGGAGGGGAAAGACCCAUAGGGGAAAAAUCUUUCUCACACUAGAGCCGAAAUCAAAGGAAUGCUUCGGGCUGUGAAAAAUGGCUUCCCGUUCCCUGGCUCCAGGCUGAGCACUCAUGCCUUGGAAAAGGUAAUCUGGAAAAAGUGAGGUGCGGGGAGGAUGAGGAUUUUCACACUGCCGCAGAGGAUAUCCAUAGUUUCUUUUCAGGUUUAAUUGCACGUGGGUGGUGUACGAUAAGUGCUCAUAAAUUGUCUACCCCGAUAUUGAAUUUAGCCCCUUCCAUAUGUGUCAGCAUGAGCUGAGCUGAAGCCAGUGGAAUGGGCCAAAAUAUACUAGAACUGUAGCCAAACUGACGACAGAGGGUUUGAAAAGUCAGCUAGAGAGACCUGUGGACCCAGUUGUUGGAGCAAUAGAUUUCUUGUCCUGAGCCUCUACACAGAUGCUAUUUUUUCCUCUUUGGGGUGGCAUAUGAAAUGAGAAGGUACUGAUGGAGAAACUGAUUUUCUUCUCUAGUUGAAAAAGUAACAUUUAGUAACUUAGAAAACUUUUCAGAAAUUGUAGGUAAAACCCUUCACGUGGCAUUUCAUAGGCUGUUCUAAUGGUCUAUUAUAUGAUAGGUAUUGGCCAGCUCUGGUGGUCUAGUGGUUGAGAUUCAUCACUCUCAUCACAAGGGCCUGGUCAGGGAACCACACCACCAGUCUGUUGGUGGUCAUACUGUGGUGGCUGUGUGUUGCUGUGAUGCUGAAAGCUGUGCCACUGGUAUUUCAAACAUGAGCAGGGUCACCCAUGGUGGACAGGCUUGAGUGGAGCUUUCAGACUAAGGCAGACUAGGAAGGAGGACCUGGCCACCCACUUCCAAAAACAUCAGCCAUGAAAACCCUAUGAAUAGCAGCAGAAUAUUGUUUGAUAUAGGACCGGAAGGGGAGGGGAUGGUGCAAAAAGACCGGGUAGAGAUCUGCUCUGUUCUACACAGGGUGGCUAGGAGCAGAGCAACAACAAAGAUACAUAUUCUCUGUUUCUUCAUUUCUUUUUAAAAAAGAAUGCAAGCAUUAUUAGAAACAGCACUAUUAAUUUUUAGUUGACUGAAAAAAGUUGAUUUCCAAGCUCCAUGAAAAAGUAAUGAGAAAAAAAACGUUCUGAACCCCCAAAAGGGAAGCAGUAAAGUGCUGUGUAAAUAUUUCCCACCACUGCCUACUGGGUCCUUUUUACAGGUGGCUAUUUUGAUUGACUGGUUGAUUAGUGUCAGCAGAGAAAUUGUGUUCUUGUGUGUUUUGUGUAAAUGUGGGGCAUUUUUGAGGUUGGGAAGGGUGAACGGAAUUAAGGAAUAAUUGUCAUUUGAAGGUUGGGCAAAUAAAAUUUAAAUAGCUUGCUUACGGCUCUUUUCU